rnacentral:rRNA from 1 species
GUUGUAUAGUCAAGUAAUUAAGUGCAUGUGGUGGAUGCCUUGGCAGUCAGAGGCGAUGAAAGACGUAAUAGCCUGCGAUAAGCUCCGGGGAGGCGGCAAAUAUCCUGUGAUCCGGAGAUUUCUGAAUGGGGAAACCCACCUGUCAUAAGGCAGGUAUCGUAUGAUGAAUACAUAGUCAUACGAGGCGAACGAGGGGAAGUGAAACAUCUCAGUACCCUUAGGAAAAGAAAUCAAUUGAGAUUCCCUCAGUAGCGGCGAGCGAACGGGGAAAAGCCCAUUAAGUCAUAUCAGUUUUAGUGGAAUGCUCUGGGAAGUGCAACCAUAGUGGGUGAUAGUCCUGUACACGAAAGGGCUGAUAUGAUGAUGUCGAGUAGGGCGGGGCACGUGAAACCUUGUCUGAAUAUGGGGGGACCAUCCUCCAAGGCUAAAUACUCCUGACUGACCGAUAGUGAACCAGUACCGUGAGGGAAAGGCGAAAAGAACCCCUGUGAGGGGAGUGAAAUAGAUCCUGAAACCGCAUGCAUACAAGCAGUGGGAGCCGACUUGUUCGGUGACUGCGUACCUUUUGUAUAAUGGGUCAGCGACUUACAUUCAGUAGCAAGGUUAACCGCAUAGGGGAGCCGUAGAGAAAUCGAGUCUUAAUAGGGCGUUUAGUUGCUGGGUGUAGACCCGAAACCGGGUGAUCUAUCCAUGAGCAGGUUGAAGGUUGGGUAACACUAACUGGAGGACCGAACCCACUGUCGUUGAAAAGCCAGGGGAUGACUUGUGGAUAGGGGUGAAAGGCUAAUCAAACUCGGUGAUAGCUGGUUCUCCCCGAAAGCUAUUUAGGUAGCGCCUCGGACGAAUACCAUUGGGGGUAGAGCACUGUUUCGGCUAGGGGGUCAUCCCGACUUACCAAACCGAUGCAAACUCCGAAUACCAAUGAGUACUAUCCGGGAGACAGACUGCGGGUGCUAACGUCCGUAGUCAAGAGGAAAACAAUCCAGACCGCCAGCUAAGGCCCCAAAAUUAUAGUUAAGUGGGAAACGAUGUGGGAAGGCAUAGACAGCUAGGAGGUUGGCUUAGAAGCAGCCACCCUUUAAAGAAAGCGUAAUAGCUCACUAGUCGAGUCGGCCUGCGCGGAAGAUGUAACGGGGCUAAAACUAUAUGCCGAAGCUGCGGAUUUGCAAUUUAUUGCAAGUGGUAGGGGAGCGUUCUGUAAGCCGAUGAAGGUGUAUUGAGAAGUAUGCUGGAGGUAUCAGAAGUGCGAAUGCUGACGUGAGUAACGACAAUGCGAGUGAAAAACUCGCACGCUGAAAGACCAAGGGUUCCAGUCCAACGUUAAUCGGGGCUGGGUGAGUCGACCCCUAAGGCGAGGCCGAGAGGCGUAGUCGAUGGGAAAUUGGUUAAUAUUCCAAUACUUCUAUGUAAUGCGAUGAGAGGACGGAGAAGGUUAAGUCAGCCUGGCGUUGGUUGUCCAGGUGGAAGGUUGUAGGCAUGUAUCUUAGGCAAAUCCGGGGUACUGUAUGCUGAGAACUGAUAGCAAGCUGUACUUGUACAGUGAAGUGGCUGAUACCAUGCUUCCAGGAAAAGUCUCUAAGCUUCAGUUACAUAGGAAUCGUACCCGAAACCGACACAGGUGGUCAGGUCGAGUAGACCAAAGCGCUUGAGAGAACUCUGCUGAAGGAACUAGGCAAAAUGGUACCGUAACUUCGGGAGAAGGUACGCUGCCGACGGUGAUAGGAUUUACUCCUUGAGCUAUUGGCAGCCACAGAAACCAGGCCCCUGCAACUGUUUAUUAAAAACAUAGCACUCUGCAAACACGAAAGUGGACGUAUAGGGUGUGAUGCCUGCCCGGUGCUGGAAGGUUAAUUGAUGGGGUUAGCGUAAGCGAAGCUCUUGAUCGAAGCCCCAGUAAACGGCGGCCGUAACUAUAACGGUCCUAAGGUAGCGAAAUUCCUUGUCGGGUAAGUUCCGACCUGCACGAAUGGCAUAAUGAUGG